UACGUAGGGCGCAGGCGUUGUCCGGAAUUAUUGGGCGUAAAGAGCUCGUAGGCGGCUUGUCACGUCGAUUGUGAAAGCCCGAGGCUUAACCUCGGGUCUGCAGUCGAUACGGGCUAGCUAGAGUGUGGUAGGGGAGAUCGGAAUUCCUGGUGUAGCGGUGAAAUGUGCAGAUAUCAGGAGGAACACCGGUGGCGAAGGCGGAUCUCUGGGCCAUUACUGACGCUGAGGAGCGAAAGCGUGGGGAGCGAACAGG
rnacentral:rRNA from 1 species